rnacentral:rRNA from 1 species
UACGUAGGGUGCAAGCGUUGUCCGGAAUUAUUGGGCGUAAAGAGCUCGUAGGCGGUCUGUCGCGUCGGCUGUGAAAACUCGGGGCUCAACUCCGAGCUUGCAGUCGAUACGGGCAGGCUAGAGUUCGGCAGGGGAGACUGGAAUUCCUGGUGUAGCGGUGAAAUGCGCAGAUAUUAGGAAGAACACCAGUGGCGAAGGCGGCUCACUGGCCCGGUACUGACGCUGAGGUACGAAAGCGUGGGGAGCAAACAGG